rnacentral:lncRNA from 1 species
UGAAAGUGUUCAUGUCACAAAAAGGAGAUACAUGCAAGUCUACGACUUUAAUUGACAAAAAGAGCUCUGUCACAGUGAUUUAUUGAUGGAAAAUCAGAAGGAGACUGUCUUCAAAAUGGCCAGUCAACUGAAGAAGCCAGACUGGGAACAUCUGUAUCUUCCUAUUUGAAAACCUCACCUGUUGCUUGCUCCUGCAGAGUACCUUGAAACACUGACCACUCACUUUGCCAGUUGAAGAGUGCCCGGUCAACUCCGCUGGAAGCCUGGGAUCAUGGAGAAGGAGACAGACUCUAGCACUGUGCUGCAGAUAUGGAAAGCAUGGAAUUAGUUUUUGUGGAGGCUGCAAGGAGGGAGCAGUCUGGUGCAGAUGUGCUAGUGCAUAGAAGGGCCAGAACAAACACCAUUUGCAAUUCAAGUGCCUUUAGACCCUAGAUGAGACUGUCUUGUAACUGCUUGCACGGUGUUAUGUAGCUUGAUUAAAGGUA